rnacentral:rRNA from 1 species
CCUACGGGUGGCUGCAGUGGGGAAUAUUGCACAAUGGGGGAAACCCUGAUGCAGCAACGCCGCGUGAGUGAAGAAGGUUUUCGGAUUGUAAAGCUCUGUUUGCAGGGAAGAGGAAGGACGGUACCUGCAGAGGAAGCCACGGCUAACUACGUGCCAGCAGCCGCGGUAAUACGCAGGUGGCAAGCGUUGUUCGGAAUAACUGGGCGUAAAGGAGGCGUAGGCGGUUAAACAAGUUAUAUGGUAAAUAUAUAGGCUUAAACUGUAGAGAGCAUAUAAAACUGUUUAACUAGAGUGCAGGAGAGGUAAGUGGAAUGCCUGGUGUAGCGGUGAAAUGCGUAGAGAUUAGGAAGAACACCAGUGGCGAAGGCGACUUACUGGACUGUAACUGACGCUGAGGCAUGAGAGCGGGGGGAGCGAACAGGAUUAGAUACCCCAGUAGUC